GGUGGCUUAGUGGUAGAGCACUUGCCUUGCAUGCAUGAGGUCCCAGGUUCGAUUCCUCAGCACCA
rnacentral:tRNA from 1 species